CCUACGGGAGGCAGCAGUGAGGAAUAUUGGUCAAUGGACGAGAGUCUGAACCAGCCACGCAGCGUGAAGGAUGACUGCCCUAUGGGUUGUAAACUUCUUUUAUAUGGGGAUAAAACGUCCCACGCGUGGGAUUUUGUAUGUACCAAAUGAAUAAGGAUCGGCUAACUCCGUGCCAGCAGCCGCGGUAAUACGGAGGAUCCGAGCGUUAUCCGGAUUUAUUGGGUUUAAAGGGAGCGUAGGUGGAAUGUUAAGUCAGUUGUGAAAGUGUGCGGCUCAACCGUAAAAUUGCAGUUGAAACUGGCAGUCUUGAGUACGGUAGAGGUAGGCGGAAUUCGUGGUGUAGCGGUGAAAUGCUUAGAUAUCACGAAGAACUCCGAUGGCGAAGGCAGUUCACUGGACUGCAACUGACACUGAGGCUCGAAAGUGUGGGUAUCAAACAGGAUUAGAUACCCCAGUAGUC
rnacentral:rRNA from 1 species